AGAACGAACGCUGGCGGCAUGCCUAAUACAUGCAAGUCGAACGAACUCUUCGGAGUUAGUGGCGCACGGGUGCGUAACGCGUGGGAAUCUGCCCUUGGGUUCGGAAUAACAGUUGGAAACGACUGCUAAUACCGGAUGAUGACGAAAGUCCAAAGAUUUAUCGCCCAGGGAUGAGCCCGCGUAGGAUUAGCUAGUUGGUGAGGUAAAGGCUCACCAAGGCGACGAUCCUUAGCUGGUCUGAGAGGAUGAUCAGCCACACUGGGACUGAGACACGGCCCAGACUCCUACGGGAGCAGCAGUAGGGAAUAUUGGGAACAGUGGGACGAACG
rnacentral:rRNA from 1 species